rnacentral:rRNA from 1 species
GACGAACGCUGGCGGCGUGCUUAACACAUGCAAGUCGAACGGAAAGGCCCUGCUUGCGGGGUACUCGAGUGGCGAACGGGUGUGUAACACGCGGGUGUACCGCCCCGUUCUCUGUGAUAAGCCUUCAAAACUGGGUCGAAUAUCGGGUAUGACCUCUCCUGCAGCGUGGGGGGUGUUGAGAUUUGUCGGUGGGGGAUGAGCCCGCGGCCUAUCAGCUUGUUGGUGGGGUAAUGGCCUACCAAGGCGUCGACGGGUAGCCGGCCUGAGAGGGUGGACGGCCACAUUGGGACUGAGAUACGGCCCAGACUCCUACGGGAGGCAGCAGUGGGGAAUAUUGCACAAUGGGCGGAAGCCUUAUGCAGCGACGCCGCGUGGGGGAUGACGGCCUUCGGGUUGUAAACCUCUUUCGACAGGGACGAAGCGUCAGUGACGGUACCUGUAUAAGAAGCACCGGCUAACUACGUG